rnacentral:SRP_RNA from 13 species
GGAAGGGAGCAGCGCUCCCGGCGGCUUCCGGCGCCGAUGGGGCCGCG